GAUGAACGCUGGCGGCGUGCCUAAUACAUGCAAGUCGAGCGAACAGACGAGGAGCUUGCUCCUCUGACGUUAGCGGCGGACGGGUGAGUAACACGUGGAUAACCUACCUAUAAGACUUGGAUAACUUCGGGAAACCGGAGCUACUACCAGAGCAUAUAUUCAACCGCAUGGAUCAAUAGUUCAAGACGGUUUUGCUGUCACUUAUAGAUGAAUCCGCGCCGCAUUAGCUAGUUGGUAAGGUAACGGCUUACCAAGGCACGAUGCGUAGCCGGCCUGAGAGGGUGAUCGGCCACACUGGAACUGAGACACGGUCCAGACUCCUACGGGAGGCAGCAGUAGGGAAUCUUCCGCAAUGGGCGAAAGCCUGACGGAGCAACGCCGCGUGAGUGAUGAAGGUCUUCGGAUCGUAAAACUCUGUUAUUAGGGAAGAAAAAAUGUGUAAGUAACUAUGCACGUCUUGACGGUACCUAAUCAGAAAGCCACGGCUAACUACGUG
rnacentral:rRNA from 1 species